rnacentral:rRNA from 1 species
CCUACGGGGGGCAGCAGUGGGGAAUAUUGGACAAUGGGCGAAAGCCUGAUCCAGCCAUGCCGCGUGUGUGAAGAAGGCCUUCGGGUUGUAAAGCACUUUCAGUGGGGAAGAAAGCCUUGGGGCUAAUACCCUCGAGGAAGGACAUCACCCACAGAAGAAGCACCGGCUAACUCCGUGCCAGCAGCCGCGGUAAUACGGAGGGUGCGAGCGUUAAUCGGAAUUACUGGGCGUAAAGGGCGCGUAGGCGGUCUGAUAAGCCGGUUGUGAAAGCCCCGGGCUCAACCUGGGAACGGCAUCCGGAACUGUCAGGCUAGAGUGCAGGAGAGGAAGGUAGAAUUCCCGGUGUAGCGGUGAAAUGCGUAGAGAUCGGGAGGAAUACCAGUGGCGAAGGCGGCCUUCUGGACUGACACUGACGCUGAGGUGCGAAAGCGUGGGUAGCAAACAGGAUUAGAUACCCUGGUAGUC